rnacentral:misc_RNA from 1 species
GAAAUGCGAUAAGUAAUGUGAAUUGCAGAAUUCCGUGAAUCAUCGAAUCUUUGAACGCACAUUGCGCCCUCUGGUAUUCCGGGGGGCAUGCCUGUCCGAGCGUCAUUGCGAACCCCUCAAGCACGGCUUGUGUGAUGGGCCCCGCGUCUUGGUCGUCAAGACGGGCCCGAAAUGCAGUGGCGGCUUCGCGGUUAUCCGAUCAGCCAGAGCGUAUGGGGACUCUCUCUCUUGUCACACGCCCGCGGCGCGGACCGACGCCUGUCGACCUUUAUUCAUCUUCUCUCGGUUGACCUCGGAUCAGGUAGGGAUACCCGCUGAACUUAAGC